GAUGAACGCUGGCGGCGUGCUUAACACAUGCAAGUCGAACGGACCAUAUUCGUAUGGUUAGUGGCAGACGGGUGCGUAACACGUGGGUGACCUGCCCUUAAGUGGGGAAUAACUCCGCUAACGCGGAGCUAAUACCGCAUAUGUUCGCUCAUUCGGUUGGGCGAGUAAAGCAGCAAUGCGCUUAGGGAUGGGCCUGCGGCGGAUUAGGUAGUUGGUGGGGUAACGGCCUACCAAGCCGAUGAUCCGUAGGGGGCGUGAGAGCGUGGCCCCCCACACUGGCACUGAGACACGGGCCAGACUCCUACGGGAGGCAGCAGUGAGGAAUAUUGCACAAUGGGCGCAAGCCUGAUGCAGCAACGCCGCGUGAGGGACGAAGGCCUUCGGGUUGUAACCUCUUUUCUGAGGACGGAGGAAGGACGGUACCUCAGGAAUAAGUCUCGGCUAACUACGUGCCAGCAGCCGCGGUAAACGUAGCGUG
rnacentral:rRNA from 1 species